UACGAAGGGUGCAAGCGUUACUCGGAAUUACUGGGCGUAAAGCGUGCGUAGGUGGUGAGUUAAGUCUGUCGUGAAAGCCCCGGGCUCAACCUGGGAAUGGCGAUGGAUACUGGCUCGCUAGAGUGCGGUAGAGGAGAGUGGAAUUCCCGGUGUAGCAGUGAAAUGCGUAGAUAUCAGGAGGAAUACCGAUGGCGAAGGCAGGUCUCUGGGCUGACACUGACGCUCAUGCACGAAAGCGUGGGGAGCAAACAGG
rnacentral:rRNA from 1 species